UGUUUAUACAUCACUUUUAAAUUUACACAAUAGUAAAUUGGUUGAAAUAUAAAAAUUUAUAAAAUUUUUAUUAAAAAUAUAAAGUAAAUUAAUAAUAUAAAAAGGUUUAAGUUAAUAAAUAACUGUUUUAUUAAGAAAUGAGGAUAAUCCGAUGUCCCAGCAUCAGCGGUUAAACAUGGUUCAAUUUUUAUUUAUUCCAUUAAUAAAUUAACUUCCAAGACAAACAUGUUUCUUAAAGGGUCCAAUCUAAAAUAAUAAAUGAAAUAGAAAAAAUUUAAGUAAAUUUUUUAAAACUAGGAUUAGAUACCCUAUUAUAAAAUUUAAAUUUGGUGUUUGGAAGAAUUAAAUCAAGAUUUAUGGCGGCUGUUAUUCAAAUUAGAGACUUAUGAGAAAAAAAGAUUAUACACUAAAAUCUUACUUUUUUUAGUUUUAUCAUUUUUUAUAUCGCCGUCCAAAGAAAAACAGAAAAAAAUUUUUCUUUAGUAGUUAAAGUAUUACAAACUAGGUCAGGUAAAGAUGAAGAUUAUAAAUAAGUGAAUUAACCUUGUAAGUCAGUAAUAUAUGAGAAUAUAAAAUUUUAAAAAUUUUUUAAAAGAAUUUAAAAGUAAAAAAAUUUUAAUAUGAUUUUUUGAAAUUUGUUAAUAGCAGCGUACAAACCGCCCGUCACUUCCAAUAAAAUGGAAUAAGUCGUAACAAGGUUAAUUUACCGGAAGGUGAAUUAA
rnacentral:ncRNA from 1 species